rnacentral:rRNA from 1 species
GUGGGGUAACGGCCUACCAAGGCGACGACGGGUAGCUGGUCUGAGAGGACGACCAGCCACACUGGGACUGAGACACGGCCCAGACUCCUACGGGAGGCAGCAGUGGGGAAUCUUGCGCAAUGGGCGAAAGCCUGACGCAGCGACACCGCGUGGGGGAUGAAGGCCUUUCAGGUCGUAAACCCCUUUCGGCAGGGACGAAGCGAUCUCGUGACGGUACCUGCAGAAGAAGCACCGGCCAACUACGUGCCAGCAGCCGCGGUAAUACGUAGGGUGCAAGCGUUGUCCGGAAUUAUUGGGCGUAAAGAGCUCGUAGGUGGUCUGUUGCGUCGGCUGUGAAACCCCGAGGCUCAACCUCGGGCCUGCAGCCGAUACGGGCAGACUAGAGUUCGGCAGGGGAGACUGGAAUUCCUGGUGUAGCGGUGAAAUGCGCAGAUAUCAGGAGGAACACCGGUGGCGAAGGCGGGUCUCUGGGCAGUAACUGACGCUGAGGAACGAAAGCGUGGGUAGCGAACAGGAUUAGAUACCCUGGUAGUCCACGCCGUAAACGGUGGGCACUAGGUGUGGGUUCCUUCCACGGAAUCCGUGCCAUAGCUAACGCAUUAAGCG